CAACAUGAAUUUUGAAAUUUAUAGCUCAAUACAGCUUUAAUACACUGCUUUUCCCAUCCACCCUGAUACAAUACAACAGUCAUUCUGAGAAAAAGGGCAAUGCAAUCUUCUGGAUGAGGCACUAAGAGAACCUCCCCCUGCUUUGAGAUCUCUGAAUAAGGGUCACUUUCAGGAACUGCAGGACUGUACAUCCAGGCAUAAUUAUGAGCAGGCUGCAAUAUUUUCAUCAAGAAUGAUGCUUACAGCCGUAAAACAUUUAGAAUUAUUUGCUAACAAGAUGUUUCCUGGAUACUGCAUAUUUUUCUCUUGCAAAUCUAGAGAGACACAGUUUCAAGACAUGCCAUCAUGGUCAGACCAACCCCUGUUUAUAGAUUACAUUGCAAACAGACACACUUUCAUUUAUAUUCCUUAAGAGGUUUGAAUGUCUCAGUAAUCCAGAAAAGUUUAUCAUUAUGUCACAACGUAUGGCUAACGAAAAAGUCUCUUCCAGUUUGACUUAUGUAUUUUCCCCAGCGAGCCAGCAGCAAGGGCAGAGACACUAGGCUGUGGAAGAUGGACUGUUUAUCUGCUGAGUGCCUCUGCUGUACGACUGGCCUGUAGCUCCAGCAGCAUCAAGCAUCAAGAUGAAAAGAAAGAGCUGGGGAUGCUGUACUGCUGCUGCUGGGCUCACAGACAGUGGAGCAAGAGAGUGGGCCCUCACUCAGGACGGACCCAGACAGCUGACAUCACUUCCUCUCACUGGUGUUGCUGUUGGCACCACAGCAGUGAGAACAGGAUUGAAGACAAAGCAGACAGCGUGAUGAAUUUGUCUGUAUUUUUUCUGUCAAUAACAAUUGUUUGUCUGUACAGUACAGUACAUCAAAAUAGUUUAAACGCA